GAGCUGGAGGUGUCGCUUGUCCUUGGGCCAGCACCGCAGACCAGCCCUGCUUGGAGAAGAGGACGGAGGGCUCUGUGUGGGUGAGCCCAGCGACAGCUGGGGCUGAGGCUUUCCAGGAGAUGAACUCAUGGACAACUGUUCGAAAUAGCUUUAUUCGGAUUGCUAUUAGAUCAGACCACUGGGGAGCUACCAAGUAUUUGGGAUUGCUACAGGCAGAUAAGGCCAGGCUGGAAAAGCCAGGGCUGCGG